rnacentral:misc_RNA from 1 species
AAAAUGCUAUUCCAACAUUAAAUUUGCCACAACCAUUGGAUGUCUUCUAGUCUUUUGGUAGAUUUUCCUUUAUAUGGUGAAGAAAAAGAAAAAUCUCAAGUCUUGAAAGUUUUCAAGAUAUAACAAAUUCAGAGAAUGUGCAAUGGAAUGAAAAUAUUUUAUCUAAAAAUGCUGAAUACAGCUUUCUCCCUUUGCCCUCUACUUCGCAGCCACCACAAGGACUUACUUUUGAAAAAACACUAGAUUCUACAUUAACUGAACGUGAGAAGAUCCUGCUGAGUCAUUUGACUCAAACUAAAUUAAGCUUAAAGCGUUUGGCAGUCGAAAUGCGAACUGUGAGGAAGACACUAAUAAAUUGUUUGUAGCUUAUAACGAUAUUAGCAGGGUCCGCACUGACAUGCCUAAUAGAAAUAAUAAUGAUGACAUUCAAGUUGUUGAUGAGAUAGUUUAUACUGUUUUGUCUUUCCCCAAUGAAAUCGAUUUCUUUUUAUAUGAAAAUGAUUUAUGUAACUUUUUGGAGCAGCCAGUAGUAUAUGUUAGUGGUUAUUUAGCUGCAAUAUUAUUAGAUAGAACGAAAUGUCAGUAAUGUAAAGAUUCGUUAAAAGUUGAUAAACCAGUAGACGACUUAAACAAUUAUAUUAGUUUUAAAGAAUGGUGGAAAGAUUCGAGCUCAUUGUGCUUUCCUUCUAAACCUUUAUGUCAUUUUGUAAACAAGAGCCAAAUUCAUUUCAAAGCUAUUAUAUCUCAGGACUUACACAUUAAAAAUAUAAAGCAGUAGACUAGUUUGCAA